rnacentral:misc_RNA from 1 species
UUGCCUGCAGUUUUAGUAGGAGUGUCAUGGGCAGCAAGAAGAGACCGGACGGCUGGUGAAAGUCCGGGCAAUGAAACUCCGAAAUACACCUGCUUUAAGAGGGCAAUUUUUGCAAAGAGGGCAGGAACGAUCCUGUCAACUAGGGUGGUACCGCGGAGCUUUUUCGUCCCUAAU